AUUGAACGCUGGCGGCAGGCUUAACACAUGCAAGUCGAGCGGGGGAAGGUAGCUUGCUACUGGACCUAGCGGCGGACGGGUGAGUAAUGCGUAGGAAUCUGCCUAUUAGUGGGGGACAACAUCUCGAAAGGGAUGCUAAUACCGCAUACGUCCUACGGGAGAAAGCAGGGGAACUUCGGACCGUGCGCUAAUAUAUCAUCCUAAGUUGGAUUAGAUAGUCGGUGGGGUAAAGGGCUACCAAGGCGACGAUCUGUAGCGGGUCUGAGACGGAUGCUCCGCCACACUGGGACUGAGACACGGCCCAGACUCCUACGGGAGGCAGCAGUGGGGAAUAUUGGACAAUGGGGGGAACCCUGAUCCAGCCAUGCCGCGUGUGUGAAGAAGGCCUUAUGGUUGUAAAGCACUUUAAGCGAGGAGGAGGCUACUUUAGUUAAUACCUAGAGAUAGUGGACGUUACUCGCAGAACAAGCACCGGCUAACUCUGUGCCAGCCGCCGCAGUAA
rnacentral:rRNA from 1 species